rnacentral:lncRNA from 1 species
CAGUAUAUUCUCAGUAUAUUCUAAUGUAAAUGUUACAGUCUCAGUAUAUUCUCAGAUAUUCUAAUGUAAAUGGUACAGUUCAGUUAUUCUAAUGUAAAUGUUACAGUCUCUGUAUAUUCCACUGUAAAUGGUACAGUCUCAGUAUAUUCUAAUGUAAAUGUUACAGUCUCAGUAUAUUCUAAUGUAAAUGUUACAGUCUCAGUAUAUUCUAAUGUAAAUGUUACAGUCUCAGUAUAUUCUCAGUAUAUUCUAAUGUAAAUGUUACAGUCUCCGUAUAUUCUCAGUAUAUUCCACUGUAAAUGUUACAGUCUCAGUAUAUUCUCAGUAUAUUCUAAUGUAAAUGUUACAGUUCUCAGUAUAUUCUCAGUAUAUUCCAUGUAAAUGUUACAGUCUCAGUAUAUUCAGUAUAUUCUAAUGUAAAUGUUACAGUCUCAGUUUUCUCAGUAUAUUUAAUGUAAAUGUUACAGUCUCUGUAUAUUCCACUGAAUGGUACAGUCUCUGUAUAUUCCACUGUAAAAGGUACAGUCUCUGUAUAUUCCAUGUGUAAAUGGUACAGUCUCUGUAUAUUCUAAUGUAAAUGUUACAGUCUCAGUAUAUUCUAAUGUAAG